rnacentral:piRNA from 1 species
UAGGAUGUGCUAAUGGCCUUGACCUAUGGUU